rnacentral:rRNA from 1 species
GCAAGACGAACGAGAACGGCUCUAGCUUGCUAGAGUGUCAGCUAAGUGGCUCACGGGUGAGUAAUAUAUAGGUAACCUGCCCCGAAGAGCGGGAUAACGUCUGGAAACGGACGCUAAUACUGCAUACUCCUUCUAGACUUAAGUUUAGAAGGGAAAUGAAUUUCGCUUCGGGAUGGGCCUUUAUCGCAUCAGCUAGUUGGUAAGGUAACGGCUUACCAAGGCUAUGACGCGUAGCUGAUCUGAGAGGAUGAUC